UGGCUCAGUUGGUUGAGCCUCCAACUCUUGGUUUUGGCUCAGGUCAUGGUCCCAGAGUUGUGGGAUCGAGCCCCGUGUUAGGCUCUGUGCGAAGUGUGGAGCUUGCUUGGGAUUCUCUCUCUUCCUCUGCCCCUCUCCCCUGCUAUCUCUCUUUAUAAUAAAUAAAAUUAAAAAAAAGUUUUUAAAGUCUUUUAAAUGUAAACCUCGUGCUAAACUCACAACUUGGUUCUAUAGCAGAGUAUUCUGGUAUAGAGUAUUCAAGAGUAAACUUGCUGAUAUAAAGAUUUUGCAGGUUUUACGGUAAUCAGUUCUCAUAUUUUUUCAUACUUUAAUGUGCCAGAAGACCAAAGCUGGGGCCAGGCUCUCUCUUGCUCUCUUUGUGGACUGAUCCCAUGGCAAAACGCAAACAGCAGAACCUGCUGGGGGGCCCCUUCAGUUCAGUGAAUGGAAGCAGGGGGCUGGUGCAGUAAAUGGAGGUGGAUUACAUCCAUCUCAGCCAAGGCAACGGCACUUCCUACGUGCUUCCUAAGUGCCAGGAACGUGCUAACGGUUGGGUACAGAGAUGACCGCCCUGCCCAUGAGGAAGCCACAGCCCGGCCAGGCAGCCAGACACUGGACGAGCUAUAAAGUGAUGUGACAAGUAGAUGCAGAAAGUGCUGGGAGUCCCAGUGGGGAGGAGAACGUGCAUCUGCCGGAGGGUGUAGCAAGGGGCAGAUGGUGUGAUGAGAGGCAGAGAGAAAAACGUCCCCUCCAAAGAUGUCCACGCCCUGAUCCCCAGUGCCUGUGAAUAUGUUAUCUUACAUGGCAGGAGGGACUCUGCAGAUGUGGUUAGGUUACGGACGUAGAGAUGGGGAGAUGAUCCUGGCUUAUCUGGACGGGCCCGAUGAAAUCAUGAAGGUCCUCAGAAGUGAAAGAGGGAGUCAGAGUGACACAGUUUGAGAAAGACUCAAUAGGCCAUUGCUUUGAAGAUGAAAGAAGGGGCCAUAAGCCAAGGAACACAGGCAGCUUCUAGAAGCUGGAAAAGUCAGGGAAACAGAUUCUCCCCUAGAGCCUCCCGAAGGAACAGCCCGGUGAUACCUUGAUUUUAGCCCCGUGAGACCCAUUUCAGACUUGUGACCUCCACCAAGCUUGUGGUAGUUUGGUACAGCAGCCCUAGAACACAGACAAUGGAGGAUAACUCGAGUAGGACACAGGAGCCCUGGGGGACUAGUCCUGAACUGGCAGCCCUUGCCCUCUCAAAGCCUCUAUUUAUCUAUUUCUCCCUCUGAAAAACGAGAGCACUGGUGAGGGUGGGGGAUGGCUGGCUCAGUCACUACAGCACACAACUCUUGGUCUCAGGGUCAUGAGUUCAAGCCCCUCACUGGGCGUGGAGCUUACUUAAAAACAACAACAACUGGGGCGCCUGGGUGGCGCAGUCGGUUAAGCGUCCGACUUCAGCCAGGUCACGAUCUCGCGGUCCGGGAGUUCGAGCCCCGCGUCAGGCUCUGGGCUGAUGGCUCAGAGCCUGGAGCCUGUUUCCGAUUCUGUGUCUCCCUCUUUCUCUGCCCCUCCCCCGUUCAUGCUCUGUCUCUCUGUGUCCCAAAAAUAAAUAAACGUUGAAAAAAAAAAUUUAAAAACAACAACAACAACAAUAAACCAAGAGCACUGGGUGUAGACACUCUCUGAUGUCCCUUCUGGUUCUGACACUUGGUGGUUUUAUGAAGAGGAGUAGCUACCAUAAUGUAAUGACUGGCAACUGGUUGUGAGGGUUGACAGAAAACAGCCUGUCCCAGAGCGUGUUUGGUGGAAUUUAAAUUCUACGGGCUGCUGAUAAGGGUUAGUCAGAAAAGAGGGCUAUUCAUGCAGCAAAUUAUUACCCAUCACUUACCAGGCACUGUUCUGAACCCUGGGGAGUCGGUGGUGAACAGGACAGAUGACCUCCCUGCCCUCACAGAGCUCAGAUCAGAGAAGUGAACUAACACACUCUUUGUUAGGAGAGAACUAAUGAACAGGCCAAUUUCCACUGGUCAUUAUACCACGAAGAAAAUGAAACCUGGUGAUGAGACAGUGUGGGACAAGGAGGCCACAGCUUCUCCUGGUAGAAUGGUCAGAGCUAGCCUCUCAGGGUCAAAUCCGACCUGGGCUUACGUGACGAGAUGAGCUGGGCGUUUGAAGAAAAGGGGGAAGAAGUAUGAAAAAAUAUUGAGCUAAAUGAAAUUAAACAGAAUUCUAUAUGGAAGAGUCCUGAGGGUUUGAACGUAUCAGUUGGUUCAUGUGUUCGCUGUCCAAUGACACAUUAUUUUAUUGAACCAGGCAGUGUUCUAGACACAAGGGAUACAGUACUGAACAAAACGGGCAAGGUCCCUGGCGCGUGGAGCAUUGUGAGUGUGGGGGAAACAGACAAUACAAAACUCAACAGAUAAAUAUAACAUCAGGAUAUAAAAGGACUCGGAGGGGGCACCUGGGUGGCUCGGUCGGUUGAGCGUCCAACUCUUGGUUUUGGCUCAGGUCAAGAUCUCAUAGCUUUGUGGGUUUGAGCCCCGCAUCGGGCUCUGCUCUGCGCUGCCUGUUUGGGAUUCGCUCUCCCCCUCUCUCUGUGCCCCUCCCCUACUGGUGCCAUCUCGGUCUCUCUCAAAAUUGAGAAACAAACGUAACAAAAAAUAAAAGGACUCUGAGGAACAGAACGGGUAUGGGGAUAGGUGUUGACAGCGGUGGUAAUGGUGGUCUGGGAAGCUAUCUGGCGUAGACAUCUGAACAGAGAAUUAACAUGCAAGAUGAAUCAGUAGGCAGCAUUUCCCAAACUAACAUGACAACACAACCCCUUUGUCCCAGAGCAUCACGCAGGACACAGGCUCCUCAGAACACACUUUGAGAAACCCUGGCCCAGAGACAGCUGAAGCGUGAACCACACUCUCGCAGGACCCAGGCUAGCAUGUCAGGAUGGAGACUAUGAAUCUCAUGAAUACAGAGUAAGGCAUUUUGUGCAGAAAGUCCCCGCCUCCAAAUGCGUAUCAGAAAGUAGGAGAGGGGCGCCUGGCUGGCUCAGUUAGUACAGCAUGUGACUCUUGAUCUUGGGGUCGUGGGGUCGUGAAUUCAAGCCCCAUGCUGGGUACGGAGCCUACUUUAAAAAAAAAGAAAAAGCAAGUGGGAGUGACUGGGAAUUCUCUGCUUGACUGCUAGUUAGUAAAGCUCUGCAUACUCUCCUGAGCCAUCCCAGACUCCCCCUCAGUUCUGUGGGAUUCAUGAAGCUUGAGGAUAAGGUAAGCCCAUGAUUGGAUGAGUCGGCACUAGCCCGUGCUGGUUUUCCCCAGAGAGCAGAAUAUAAAAGAAUAGGAAUCCUUUUUCUAGGAUGUUAUGUUGCAGAGAACAUGUAUUUGUUUUUUCAAGCGUAUCGUCUGGGUGACGACGAUCAAUGUCCACAUUUCUGGGGAUCUUUACCCAAGUCCCCCUUCAGUUCUGAUUAAGGAAUAAAUGGUGCACCCUGGGACCAGAAACAAGAUCUGGGGCCCGAACAGGGCCUAUGCUCAUGCAAAGUGCACACCCUGAGAAAAAGACCAAUAUUCUCCCCAGGAAGCCACAGGGAGUUUCACUGCGAGCAAACCCCACCGUCCCUGCUAUGUCCUUUCCUGUCUAGAGAAGGCCGUCUGGACUUUCUCACAGCUCAAGUCAGAGGAGGCACAUUAUGUAUUCAAGUCCUGCUGCAGCAAGCCUUCCAGCACGCCAUCCUGCCUGGGCUCCAGCAGAAACACCUCUCUGGGGAGCAGGCUCUGUUCGUGGUAAGCUGGGCUCCGGGUCUGCCAGAGGAACCGCUCUGAAAGCCCACAGAACGUGGCCUCGCCUGGCAGGUGGUAAUGCCGUUCACCUUCCUCGUUCCCUAGAUGAGAUGUGAGCUCAGACAGAUGGGGGGGGGGGGGGUCUUCCCAUGAAAGCCAACGCCUUUCCCAAGCCUCUGCUUCCCUGAACUGCCUGCCCGAGCCCCCAUGUGGUUCCUCUGCUUGGAUAAUCCUCCUGCCCCUCGUCACCUUCUUGUCACCUGCCAUCUUUUUCAUCUUGGCUCAGUGUCACUUCCUCUGGGAAGCUGUCUGUCUUGAUCGGAUCAAAUACCACCACUGGGGGUGCUUAGGGCACAUCGUGCCUCUUUUACGAGCACCUGCAGUGGCUCUGAGUCCCAGGUCCUGCCACUCACAUCCCUUCAACAAAUCCCAUCACCUCCCUGGGCCUCAGUUGCCGAAGGAAGGGAGGUGAAAAGAUGCUCACUGUGGUUCCCUCCCUGUCCCAGCGCUCUGAGAUUUCCCUUCCUGAGACAAGAGUCACAAUCAUUUACUUAGCACUGAAAUGACAGAGAGAGCCACAGUAUUGGUUCCCACACUUUUGAAGACCUGACAUCCCUUUUCAAAUGAUGCUGUCUAAUCCUAAAGCAGGGAAUGGGCGGAGCUACUUUGCUUGAAAUGGGCCAAAGUCUGGAAGCCCUUUGUCUCUCAGCCUCUGAGGUACCUCCCCCGCCUAGGGCUCCAGAGGCACGGGUUUCAAGCCACUCCCUGGGACGGGCCUUCCAAAUCUAACACUAGGGCAAGUUCCAAAGUCCACCCACUCACACCCCAUGCUGACUGGUUGCCUGAAUUCUGUGGGGUCCGCAGAUCUUCUACUGACAAGUGUCCAAAAGACACAAAGGUUUGUCUGUUCCUCUUUAAGCUUUCUUUCAACAUGUCUGAUUUCACACGUAGCUCCGGAGCACGCAUGAAAGGGGGAUUAUAAAAAGGUAGGAGAGGAGAGACCCAUUGGUAAGCCCACUUCCAAAUUUGUGAUAUGGACACAAGGGCCACAAAGGGCCACAAGCACUGGAGCAAAGGACACAAGCAACCGCUGUUAGCGCUGCCCACUCUCUCACCGAGGAGGCACGGACACCCAUGCGGGGGUGUGCUGGCCCUCAACACACCUCGGGCGCCUGAGUCCCAUCGUCCUCAGCGGAGCCCCCUAGACCCGGCUUUGGAGUUCUGACCGUGGAGGGCCGGGCAGCAAAUCAGCAGACCUGGCCAUCGGUCCCCAGGAGCACCCAGCACGGUCACGGGCACGACCCAGGACUUCGGGUCCUUGCAGUAGUAGCCCACCCCUCCUCCAGAAUUCAGAAUUUGCUGGAACACCUCCUACCGAUCACUAUCAUCCAGGUGUGAAUCGCUGGGGGGGCCUUCUACAGCCAGAGCUGCACACUCCUUUCUUUCUUUCUUUCUUUUCUAACACCUUCCAAAUUCAUCACCCUCGACGUGGUGAGCAAAAGAACGUGCAGACAUUUGUGGGGAAGGGGUGAGUGCCCCUGCUUCCCCUAUGUCAGGGAGAUACCAAAACCCACUGAGAAGUCAUCUGGGAGAAGAAUCCCAGGAUGGGCCUUUGUGGGCACCUGUCCAAAGGUUCCGAUUUGGAAGCCACAACAGCUGGCCUUUUGGAGCCAGAGAGAAAGCUUUCAUAUAUUGAGGCAAUUGAUUAUUAUUUUUUUAAAGGCUCCAAAACCUCCUCUAAAGCCAUCUCCUGUACUUAAACAUUCCCUUAGUUCUCCCCCGCCCCUCCCCCAUAUUUAUUUGGCUUAUAAAAACGUAUUAAAUCAGUAGUCACUCUGCUGUCUCAAAUGUGUCUACUCUCAGCCCCACGGUCUGGUGACAGUUCUCUUUAUCGAUCUCAAGACAGCAGCCGAAAGUCCUGUAGUCCUGUAGGUCUCCCCCUCCUCCCCACCGCCUGCCCCUUUGUCCUGUCCAGUCCUCUCCAACUUACUCUAUGAAGGCUCGGUGACAGACACAGCAAGCUGGAAGGGGAGGGAGGCAGUGCUAUUUAUAAUUCGGCAGAGUUGGCCCUCAGAACACGGCCAUUUUUUCCAGGCGGACUGCCAGAGCCCACAUUCCCCAGGCUCCAUAUAUGGGCCUCUCACAGGCCCCUGUGCCCAUAGCCUUGCCUCUGAGGGGACCAAGGCCGCCUGGCAAGUCAGGAAGCAUCUCAUUUAAUCUUCAUAACACCCCCAAGAGAUGGAUGUUCUUCUGUAGGUGAGGAAACUGGGGUGCAGAGAGGUGAAGCAGCAUGUCCAUGCUGACCCUACGGGUGGAGGCCCCUUCUUAAAUGUGUUGCCCCUUCUCUUCUCUCCUGAGCAUUUAGGACAAACUAGACCCACAAAGAAUCUUCACUCGGGAGGCACUUCUUCGGCCAAGGGCACCUCUCACCUGUGAGCUCUUUUCAGCGUAGGAAGGAUUCCGGAUUCUCUGUGGACCCCAUGGCCUCUGUAGCCCUCCCUGAACAGCCAGGACCCUCUAUCUGUGGAGUUCCCAGCCGUCCCGUUACUUGCUUGCCUGUGACAAAUAUGGGGCUGGCACUUCAGCAGGGAGAAGGAGCAGCAGGAGUUGAUCAAUUCCUAAGCAACAAAGAUCCUGUUUUCAUGCAAACGUCCUCGGCAUUAAAACAAAAACAAAUUCUUCCCGGGGCGCGUCCUGGA